CAAAUCUGUAACUAGGCCACUCAGGAAUAUUCAAUGUCCUCUUGGUAAGCAACUCCAAUGUAUAUUUGGCCUUGUGUUUUAGGUUAUUGUCCUGCUGAAAGGUACAUUUGUCUCCCAGUGUCUGUUGGAAAGCAGACUGAACCAGGUUUUCCUCUAGGAUUGUGCCUGUGCUUAGCGUUAGACCGUUUUUUUAUCCUAAAAAGUGUCCUACUCCUAGCCAAUGACAAGCAUACCCAUAACAUGAUGCAGCCACCGCCAUUCUUGAAAAUAUGAAGAGUGGUACUCAGUGAUGUGAUGCGUUGGAUUUGCCCAAAACAUAAUGCUUUGUAUUCAGGACAUAAAGUUAAUUUCUUUGCCACAUGUUUUUCAGUUUUACUCUAGUGCCUUAUUGCAAACAGGAUGCAUAUUUUGGUAUAUGUUUAUUCUGUACAGGCUUCCUUCUUUUCACUCUGUCAUUUAGGUUAGUGUUGUAGAGUAACUUCAAUGUUGUUGAUCCAAUCUCUGUUUUCUCCUACAGUGUCACAGCCAUGAAAUUACCUGAAACUCUAACUGUUUUAAAGUAUAUUUUUUUGUGAUUGAGUGUAUUGAUACACAAUCCAAGUGUAAUUAAUAACUUUUUAUUUUUAACCAUCUACCAAUAGGUGCCCUUCUUUGUGAGGCAUUGGAAAACCUCCAUGGUCUUUUUGGUUGAAUCUGUGUUUGAAAGUCACUGCUCGACUGAGGGACUUUACAGAUAAUUGGAUGUGUGGGGUACAGAGAUGAGGUAGUCAUUCAAAAAUCAUAUUAAACACAAUUAUUGUAUACAGAGUGAGUCCAUGCAAUUUAUUAUGUGACUUGAUAAGCAAAUGUCUACUUAUUUAUGCUUGCCAUAGCAAAAGGGUGAAUGCUUAUUGACUCGAGAUUUCGUUUUUCAUUUUUAAUUAAUAUGUAAACAUUUCUAAAAACAUAAUUCCACUUGGACAUUAUGGGGUAUUGUGUGUAGGGCAGUUAGACAAAAUCUAAAUGUAAUCAAAUUUAAAUUCAUGCUGUAACACAAAAAAAAUGGAGUUGAUGGGUGUUGUCACGUCCUGACCAUUGUAAGUUGUUAUUUUCUAUGGUUGAGUAGGUCAGGACGUGACAGGGGGUGUUUGUCUAUGUUUUGUAUUUCUAUGUUCAGUUUCUAGUUUUGUAUUUCUAUGUUGGUCAUAUUUAAGCUGAUGUUUGUCCCACCCAUUUUUGUAGGUGAUUAUCUUUUGAGUAGUGUUUAUUUCUCUCUGUGUCACGGUUUGCUGUUUUUGUUAUUCUAG
rnacentral:lncRNA from 1 species